GCGGGAAUAGCUCAGUUGGUAGAGCACCAGCUUCCCAAGCUGGGGGUCGCGAGUUCGAACCUCGUUUUCCGCUCCA
rnacentral:tRNA from 1 species